rnacentral:lncRNA from 1 species
CUGGGAGUUAGCUGGGAGUUGCUGACGCAGUUCCUUCUGCGCUUUGUUCAAGAUGUGGGUCUGGCGCUUUCGUGACUCAAGACCCUCUUAGGAACUUCUUCACUGAACUCAAGGAGGAGAUCAGGCAAGAUCUGUGCUGUGCAGAUCCUUUGGAUUGAGGCUGCUGUGCACAGGAAUAUGGAUGAUACUCUCCAAGCUGUAAGGAAGAAGUCAAGGAUUAAGGAGACCUGGACUGGAGAGGAGCCUUUUUCAAAAAACAACAAUGACAAGAGAAAAUGUAGCCCACAAUGCUCUGAGACAAGAGGGCCUUGUGAAGGGGAAGGAUGAUACCUGGAAAUGGGGAACCAGCUUCCAAGGAAGUAGCUCCUCUGUUUGGGAGACCUCCCACCUACACUUUAGACAAUUACGUUACCAUGAGACAUCUGGACCCCAGGAAGCCCUGAGCCGGCUCAGGGAACUCUGUCGCCGGUGGCUGAGACCAGAAGCACGCACCAAGGCACAGAUCCUGGAGCUGCUGGUGCUGGAGCAGUUUCUGAGCAUCCUGCCUGGGGAGAUUCGGACCUGGGUACAGCUCCAUCACCCUGGAAGUGGCGAGGAGGCUGUGGCCCUGGUAGAGGAGCUGCAGAAAGACCUUGAUGGACCAGCAAUACAAGUCUGGCUUCUGUUCCCACCGUUGUGUACAGUCUCCUCUGGGAGAGGUCACCAGUGCCAUGAGUGGGGCUCGAGGGCAGCUCCAUUGUUCUCAAUGCAAAGCUUUACUGCUGUUUUGAUGCUCCAUACUUGAGGUUCCAGUCCUUGUCAAGGAUCAGGACACUCUCCAGAAGGUGGUGAGUGCCCCAGGAACAACACUUCCUCCUGUACUUCCUGGCAGCCACAUAGCAGCUGAAAUUUGCCCGCAUCCUCCUACUGACCUAGUGGCAUUCAACCUCCAGGAUCCUCAGCAUGAUUCUCCUGCCCCUGAAGCUUCUGCCCUUUCCCAGGAAGAGAACCCAAGAAAUCAAUUAAUGGCACUUAUGCUCCUAACAGCCCAGCCCCAGGAGUUGGUGAUGUUCGAGGAGGUGUCAGUAUGCUUCACUUCAGAGGAAUGGGCAUGUCUGGGCCCAAUCCAGAGGGCCUUGUACUGGGAUGUGAUGCUGGAGAAUUAUGGAAAUGUGACCUCCCUAGAAUGGGAGACCAUGACCGAGAAUGAGGAGGUGACAUCAAAGCCAAGUAGUUCUCAAAGAGCAGACUCUCAUAAAGGAACAUCAAAAAGACUUCAAGGAAGUGUUCCCCAGGUCCUUGAUUUUGAAGAAGAGUGUGAAUGGCAAGUUU